rnacentral:rRNA from 1 species
AAAUGAAUAGACGGGGGCCCGCACAAGCGGAGGAACAUGUGGUUUAAUUCGAUGAUACGCGAGGAACCUUACCCGGGCUCGAACGGUACAGGUAUAUUACAGAGAUGUAAUAGCUAGCAAUAGCUUGUAUCGAGGUGCUGCAUGGUUGUCGUCAGCUCGUGCCGUGAGGUGUCGGCUUAAGUGCCAUAACGAGCGCAACCCUUGUCAUUAGUUACCAUCAGUUCAAGCUGGGGACUCUAAUGAGACUGCCACCGUAAGGUGUGAGGAAGGGGGGGAUGACGUCAAAUCAGCACGGCCCUUAUGUCCGGGGCGACACACGUGUUACAAUGGGGGGUACAGAGGGUAGCCAUUCGGUGACGAAGCGCGAAUCUCCAAAACCCUUCUCAGUUCGGAUUGGAGUCUGCAACUCGACUCCAUGAAGGCGGAUUCGCUAGUAAUCGCGCAUCAGCCACGGCGCGGUGAAUACGUUCCCGGGCCUUGUACACACCGCCCGU